rnacentral:misc_RNA from 1 species
GAUGAAGAACGCAGCGAAAUGCGAUACUUGGUGUGAAUUGCAGAAUCCCGUGAACCAUCGAGUCUUUGAACGCAAGUUGCGCCCGAAGCCAUUAGGCCGAGGGCACGCCUGCCUGGGCGUCACACGUCGUUGCCCCCCCAUCUACUCCUUCGGGAUUGCGGGGGGCGGAUGAUGGCCUCCCGUGCGCCUCGUCGCGCGGUUGGCAUAAAUGCCAAGUCCUCGGCGACGCACGCCACGACAAUCGGUGGUUGCGAAACCUCGGAUGCCCGUCGUGUGCGGUCGUCGCGCAUCGAGGGCUCGAAAAAAUUGCCGGGCUCCGGCUCGGCUUUCAACGCGACCCCAGGUCAGGCGGGGUUACCCGCUGAAUUUAAGCAUAUCAAUAAGCGGAGGA